AAUUGAUGUCAAACUGGGGCUUAAUCUUUCACCAAAUAAAUUAUUGAAAAUAAUUAUAUCUAGCUUAUUGAAAUAUGUGAAAUUAAAUGCCAAUCACCAAACCCUAUAUUAAUAUAAUACAACUUGGAAUAAAAACCAGAUGGCUCAUUAGAUUCAAAGAUAACUGCAGGCCAAAUUUGACACCUAUAUUUAAGAUAUCUGAUCACAUAAUAAAGAGGGUUUGAAAAAUUCCAGCUCCCUUUUCGCCCAUCUCAUCAAGCUUGCUUCAUUGAACAUGGAUAAUAAAAACAUAAUACAUAAAUAAUUUGUCCUUCCAAUAAUUUUUUCAUUUCUGUAUACGAAAAACUGAGCUCCCCUACUGCUCCAACCUACACAACUGUUUUAUUAUUGGCUCUUAUUUAAGCUUUUAUUGAUGUAACAAUCUAUCUUUUCAUGGACCGAGCUGCCUGCACAGCAUGGCACACAGCUCGAUUUACAGUACCCUCACAUCGGGAGGCUCGUGUCAUUUUUUUAUUGGUGCAGACCCCACCGAGCUAUAAGGGUGCUGUACAAACGGCUUAUUCCAUCUUUACAUAGUCUACUAAAAAUAUCGAUUGGCAUCAAAUAAGUCAAGAUAG
rnacentral:lncRNA from 1 species